UGCCUCAUGAGGCUUCAUCUCACCAUCACUACUUAAAACUAAAGAGGGCCUUGAUAAUAGUUAGUAGUUUUGGUAAAUUCAAGCGAUGUCCUAGUUCGAGUAGGACGACAACACAACUGGACAAGACAUUCAACUUCGUGUUAUAACUGCAUGGAGGCUUUGUUGCGAUUUAAAAUAGUUUGCUUCAUAAACUUAACCUGGUUUUAAUUAAGCUUAGUAUUCCUAAGAGACUUUGAUAUUGUGUGGCUGUUGUUGUAACUCGUUCGUCAUUGUUUUUAUCUUCAACAUAUUUUUGCAGUCUAAGCAAAUUUAAGAUGAAAGAGGAAGCCAGGGAUAAGGAAUUAGAAAACCUAAAGACUUUCCUGUCUCAGAAGAGGCUCUGGCUCCACCAAAUCACCAACCAGUUCUGAGGAUGAACCUCCACAUCGUCUUCAUGAUGGAAGGCUUUGUUUUUACUGAGCAGCUAGCUUUAACAGCAAAAACUGGUGAGUUUCCAACAUUAACUGCUUAAUAAACAUGUUUUGAUUUAAAAAAAAUAAUUGGACAGAAUUUAUUCCCCUUGUUAAUCUACCAUUUCUCUUUCAUACAUUUUAUUCAUUGUUAUCUUUCAGGACCCUGUGAUGGACUGAUGACCUGUCCAGGGUGAACCCCGCCUCUCAUCCGAUGACAGCUGGAGAUGGGCACCACCAUCACCUUGUUCAGAUCAUGGAUGGAAAGCUUUUAAGCAAAGAAGUCACACAGAAAUGUGUUUUCACACCAGGCAUCUGGUCCCAAUCAUCAUCAGUUUUGAUGAUGUCACAAAUAAAGCGAGUCCACAACAUCCUAAAAUUGUUUCUGUAAAGUGCAGUGGUCCAGUGAAAUGGAAUGUUCUGUUGUUGAUCCUCACUAUUCUUAGGAAGGAGAAAUGUCUGUUUGUCUGGAGUAAAACUGGAAUACUGUGACAUUGUAUUAAAACAAUAUUCUAUCCUUGGUGAAAUAUUUUUCACGUUUCCUCUAAAGUGUACCUAUGAUUUUAUUGUGCUAAUUUUCAUAAGCAUGUUGUACUUUGAAUGUAUUAACAAUUUGUACAAUUCUGUGAUAGUAUAUUGGCAAUGUACUCUUGAAAAAUGUGGGUAAGACUUUAUUUGGCAGGGUGUGCAUAAGACUGACAUGAUACUGUCAUAAACAUGACAGUUAGUAUGUUCCUGUUAGGAACAUACUAACAGGUGUUACACAAUGUCAUUCUGUAAAUAAUGACACUUAAUGAGAAGUUGCUUUAAGAGUUGGAUUAGAAGUCCACGAACAGCACCAACUUUGCA